rnacentral:rRNA from 1 species
UCUGGGAUAACAGAUGGAAACGUCUGCUAAUACCGGAUACUCAGCCUUGUGGGCAUCCACAGGGUUGGAAAGCUCCGGCGGUCAAGGAUGGACUCGCGUCCUAUCAGCUAGUUGGUGGGGUAAUGGCCUACCAAGGCGACGACGGGUAGCCGGCCUGAGAGGGCGACCGGCCACAUUGGGACUGAGAUACGGCCCAGACUCCUACGGGAGGCAGCAGUGGGGAAUAUUGCACAAUGGGCGCAAGCCUGAUGCAGCAACGCCGCGUGCGGGAUGACGGCCUUCGGGUUGUAAACCGCUUUCAGCAGGGACGAAGCGCAAGUGACGGUACCUGCAGAAGAAGCACCGGCUAACUACGUGCCAGCAGCCGCGGUGAUACGUAGGGUGCGAGCGUUGUCCGGAUUUAUUGGGCGUAAAGAGCUUGUAGGCGGUUAGUCGCGUCGUAAGUGCAAACCCAGGGCUUAACCCUGAGCCUGCUUUCGAUACGGGCUGACUAGAGGAAGGUAGGGGAGAAUGGAAUUCCCGGUGGAGCGGUGGAAUGCGCAGAUAUCGGGAGGAACACCAGUGGCGAAGGCGGUUCUCUGGACCUUUCCUGACGCUGAGAAGCGAAAGCGUGGGGAGCAAACAGGCUUAGAUACCCUGGUAGUCCACGCCGUAAACGGUGGGUACUAGGUGGUGGGGGACAUUCCACGUUCUCUGUGCCGUAGCUAACGCAUUAAGUAUUCCGCCUGGGGGAGUACGGUCGCAAGAUUAAAACUCAAAGGGAAUUGACGGGGACCCGCACAAGCGGUGGGAGCAUGUGGCUUAAAUUCGAUGCAACGCGAAAGAACCUUACCUGGACUUGACAUGCCUGGUGGGUAGAAUCCUGAAAAGGGAGAACAA